AGGCCGAUUCAGAAACUUGAGUGCAAU
rnacentral:piRNA from 1 species